rnacentral:SRP_RNA from 1 species
GCGGGGCAUGGUGGUGUGCACCUGUAGCCCCAGCUACUCAGAGGCUGAAGCCAGAGGAUGGCUUGCGCCUAGGAGGAGUUUUGGGCUGUCGUGUGUUAGCCAAUGGGGUAUGUGCGCUAAAUUUGGCAUCUAUAUGGUGACCUCUUGGAAGUGAGGGACCUCUAGGUUGCCUAAGAAGGGACGAAUUAGCCCAGGCCAGAAAAGAGCAGGUCAGAUCUCCCGUGCUGAUCAGGAGUGGGAUCGUGCCUGGGAAUAGCCACUGCACUCCAGCCUGGGUAACAUAGUGAGACCCCCUUCU